GACGAACGCUGGCGGCGUGCUUAACACAUGCAAGUCGAACGGAAAGGCCCAGCUUGCUGGGUGCUCGAGUGGCGAACGGGUGAGUAACACGUGGGUGAUCUGCCUCUAACUUCGGGAUAAGCUUGGGAAACUGGGUCUAAUACCGGAUAGGACAAUCGUUUAGUGUCGGUUGUGGAAAGUUUUUUCGGUUAGGGAUGAGCCCGCGGCCUAUCAGCUUGUUGGUGGGGUAAUGGCCUACCAAGGCGUCGACGGGUAGCCGGCCUGAGAGGGUGGACGGCCACAUUGGGACUGAGAUACGGCCAAGACUCCUACGGGAGGCAGAGGUGGGGAAUAUUGCACAAUGGGCGCAAGCCUGAUGCAGCGACGCCGCGUGGGGGAUGACGGCCUUCGGGGUGUAAACCUCUUUCGACAGGGACGAAGCUUUGGUGACGGUACCUGUAUAAGAAGCACCGGCUAACUACG
rnacentral:rRNA from 1 species